CGCCCUACGACUGCCAUUCUUCUGCAAAUAUCAAACACAGCCCACUCUCGCCCCGAAAGCUGCCUGGGCUUCACCUUCCUGGCUCUGGCCACGGUUUUCAUUAAACUCCACCGAACAAGCACGAUGUUUGGAGCUAUAUUUCCAAGUUCACUUCCUGAAUUAUGAGCUUGUUUCAAAGGAAGUGGACACAUCUUUCACCACCAAGUAUCUCCUAAAGGACUGAACAAAUGAACAGCGCAUGAGGCCUGCAGAGGGAUGACCCAGACACAUGCUGGUGGAGAGGAAAAGGGAGGAGAAAGUUCCACUGCUUAAGCACCCUUCAAGGUUCUUCCACACCUGUGAGCCGAGGAGCCUUCUGCCUCUUGGUAUUGUCUGGGCCCCAGUUUGUUCCACUUCAGCUCUCUGAUGGUUCUGCAUUCUGGUCCUUCCCAUCUCAUAAUCCACAUGCUGGUUACUCUGGACUGCUAGAUCUUGGAGGUAUCCUGCUGUCUUGCCACUGGACUCGUGUGUAUGCAGCAAGAAAGACCCAAAGACACACUGAAGGCACAGACGCUGGUGUCCUGGCCACUUCUUGCUGCAUAGUUUAUUUGCCAAAAUACACUGGGUGAAAAGA